AUUGAACGCUGGCGGCAGGCCUAACACAUGCAAGUCGAGCGAGCGGCGGACGGGUGAGUUAUGAAUGGGGAUCUUCGCGAUGGAGGGGGUUAACUACUGGAAACUGUUGCUAAUACCGCAUAGUAUCGGCUGGAUCGAUAUGGGAUUAGCUAGUGGGUGGGGUAAAGGCUCACCUAGGCGACGAUCUGUAGCUGGUCUGAGAGGAUGAUCAGACACACUGGGACUGAGACACGGCCCAGACUCCUACGGGAGGCAGCAGUGGGGAAUAUUGGACAAUGGGCGAAAGCCUGAUGCAGCCAUGCCGCGUGUAUGAAGAAGGCCUUAGGGUUGUAAAGUACUUUCAGCGGGGAGGCGUUACCCGCAGAAGAAGCACCGGCUAACUCCGUGCCAGCAGCCGCGGUAAUUC
rnacentral:rRNA from 1 species